rnacentral:rRNA from 1 species
CAAUAGCAUAUAUGAAUGUUGUUGCAGUUAAAACGCUCGUAGUCGAUAUUAUCGAACUCGGACCUAUUGCAGGGGGGGAACGUAACCAAAUCUACGGAAAAAGGAGGCACUUUUGCGUUCUUGGCAGACAGUAGUACGUUUUUAUUUAUAAAUUCGUCGUCAUUACCUUGAAUGAAUCAGCGUUCUCAAAGCAGUGCUGGUGCACACUGAAUGAUCAAGCAUGGGAUAAUACAUAUCACUGUUGACAAAUAUUGUAUUGGUACUAAGGCCAACACUUACAAGUGAUUANUAGGAACAGUUGAGGGCUCUAGUACUGAAUGGCGAGAGGUGAAAUUCUUAGACCCAUUCAUGACUUUAUGAGGCGAANGNAUUUGCNAAGGAUGUUUNCAUUG